AUGAGCCUUGACAAAACUGUGGACAGCAUACUGCUAAGCCUCACAUUGUUCAGCCUUCUGAUUUUCCUUGGAAGUUUGCUGAUAUGUGCGUGUAGAAGGUAUAGAUUCCUGGAAGUUAUAACCAUGCCCUUUCCAGCUCCUACAGAUAAAGUUACAACGUGGUUAGCUACAGAUGAGACUCACCAUCAGAAACAAAAUUCAGUGCAAAUGGAGAUGCAGUCAGAGGUCAUACUGAGAAUAUCAGAAGAUAAUGGAGAUGAGGACAUUCAACAACAUACACAUUUGAAAGAAUCUGAAGACCUACCGUUGUGUCAUUCAAACCAUGAGACUCAUCUUUCGAGAAUGUUCAAUGAUCUUCACACUGGUCAGCCUGGUGGGUGCUCUAUCACAAUCAUUUGGUUGGAGUUAUCUUCAGUGUUUAAUUGUGGAAUCCUGAUAGACACAAAAUUAAAACACCCGUGUCCGCAGCAAGAGCUAUAAUAAGGAGGAGGCCAGGAGAAGAAAAAAAUAUCCAUGUGCAGCCAGAGGACAUCAGAUGAUUUUGCUUUGAGAAGCUGGAACUGGCCAGGACCACUCAGACUAAAUGCAUAGUUCACCUAGUUUUGCUGAUCUACGCUGGGAUCAUGUGUGUGUCUACCUUAUCCAUCUGCUGUCAGUCUAUGGUGUUAGCCCUUGUUUCCUGUAGUAAAGAUCAGAGUUUACACAGAGAAUCCAUGUUGCACUGGUUCCCAAAUAGUUCUCUUCAGCAGGAAAAUCUUAUCAGGUACUAUGGAGUAAAGCUGGCUUUGUUAUUUAGGCAUCGUGCACAGCACACCUGUGAACCAGCCUACACCUUUUGGCCCAGGAACCACUGGUUUCUUUCUGAUGUUGCUGCACAUGGUUUCAUUUUGUUCUUUUGAAAUUCUAGUUUCAACUUCUCUAGG
rnacentral:lncRNA from 1 species